CAGCCCCGUGUUUGCCUUGCAAUUCUACCAGCAAUCCAGGUAGAAGCCAUUUCAUCGCAAGAUCGAUUUCUGCUGCCUGAAGUGCCGUCUCUGAACCUUACUUAUAAAAGCCCAUCUUGUUUCCAUGAAGCCAGGACCUGAGUCCGCGGGGCAGGUCCACCCAGCCCUCCGCCAUCAACUGCGCCGGAACAGCUCCCAGAAUCCCCCGGGCUCCGCCCCCAAUGGCCGCCCGGGGAGAGGCUGGCGGCCACGAGGUUAAUGUACCUGGACAUUGUCUGCUGUACUGACAGCCUAUCUGUCCCUUUUAUGAGGAUGCCCACGCAUUAAGCGGACAGGGAUGGCCUUGGCCGGGUAGCUCAGUGGGUUAGAGCAUCCUCUCACAACCCCAAGGUUGCCGCUUCCAUCCCGCGUCCGGGCACACACAAGAACCAACCAAUGAAGAAAAAAAAAAUCAACCAAUAAAUGCCUAAGUAAGUGGAACAACAAACUGGCCUGAGACAGAACUCUCUCUAGAAUUAUUAUUUUUUUUUAAUAACCAAAAAACAAAUAAGACAGGCAGUGAUUCCAGAGUGAAGUUUGUUCCUUCUACUCAUUCGCUGGAAAGACUACAUUUCCCAGAAAUCUCUACGGCAGCUUCCGCGGAAGGCUUCCGCACCCGGCCUACCCCGGAGGUGGAGAGUUCUGCGCAAUAGAGGCAUUUCCGCCUGGCGGUCUGGCGGGUACUGAGUGCAGGCUGGGAGCCUUUUCUGCGCUUACCCUUGUUUUUUUACUCCCAGGCGCCGCUAAAUUCCCUGAGCUCAAGCUGUAUAGCAUGCACACCACCCUUCAUGAGCGCCAUCUAAGUGAGGCUUCGUGCCACCCGCGCACCCCUGUGGGCAUCCGCACUUUGCUGGCAGGAGAAACAGGAAGGCAAAGCUGUCACCCACUUUGCAUGAUGCUA